AUUGAACGCUGGCGGCAGGCCUAACACAUGCAAGUCGAACGAGUGGCGGACGGGUGAGUAAUGUCUGGGAAACUGCCUGAUGGAGGGGGAUCACUACUGGAAACGGUAGCUAAUACCGCAUACCAUCGGAUGUGCCCAUAUGGGAUUAGCUAGUAGGUGGGGUAACGGCUCACCUAGGCGACGAUCCCUAGCUGGUCUGAGAGGAUGACCAGCCACACGGGAAUUGAGCCACGGUCCAGCAUCCUACGGGAGGCAGCAGUGGGGAAUAGUGCACAAUGGGCGCAAGCCGGAUGCAGCCAUGCCGGGUGUAUGAAGAAGGCCGUCGGGUUGUAAAGUACUUUCAGCGGGGAGGCGUUACCCGCAGAAGAAGCACCGGCUAACUCCGUGCCAGCAGCCGCGGUAAUUC
rnacentral:rRNA from 1 species